CCGGCGCACGGGUGAGUAACACGUAUCCAACCUGCCGUCUACUCUUGGACAGCCUUCUGAAAGGAAGAUUAAUACAAGAUGGCAUCAUGAGUUCACAUGUUCACAUGAUUAAAGGUAUUCCGGUAGACGAUGGGGAUGCGUUCCAUUAGAUAGUAGGCGGGGUAACGGCCCACCUAGUCUUCGAUGGAUAGGGGUUCUGAGAGGAAGGUCCCCCACAUUGGAACUGAGACACGGUCCAAACUCCUACGGAAGGCAGCAG
rnacentral:rRNA from 1 species